CUGGUCUUGACAUCCACGGAAGUUUUCAGAGAUGAGAAUGUGCCUUCGGGAACCGUGAGACAGGUGCUGCAUGGCUGUCGUCAGCUCGUGUUGUGAAAUGUUGGGUUAAGUCCCGCAACGAGCGCAACCCUUAUCCUUUGUUGCCAGCGGUCCGGCCGGGAACUCAAAGGAGACUGCCAGUGAUAAACUGGAGGAAGGUGGGGAUGACGUCAAGUCAUCAUGGCCCUUACGACCAGGGCUACACACGUGCUACAAUGGCGCAUACAAAGAGAAGCGACCUCGCGAGAGCAAGCGGACCUCAUAAAGUGCGUCGUAGUCCGGAUUGGAGUCUGCAACUCGACUCCAUGAAGUCGGAAUCGCUAGUAAUCGUGGAUCAGAAUGCCACGGUGAAUACGUUCCCGGGCCUUGNACACNCCGCCCGUCACACCAUGGGAGUGGGUUGCAAAAGAAGUAGGUAGCUUAACCUUCGGGAGGGCGCUUACCCCUUUGUGAUUCAUGACUGGGGUG
rnacentral:rRNA from 1 species